CCUCGAAGGCAUAACCUGUUCCUCUUCUCUCUCGGUUAUUUCUUCUUUUGUCUCUCCCUCCAGAAACCAGAAAAUUUGAUGGUGGUUGAACAAGAGGGAGUUGGAUGAAGAAAGGGGUUUGUUUGUUAAUCAAACAAAUCCUAUGCUGGUCCAAUUCCCUUGUUUUUGUUCAAUUGCUAUCAUUUGUCCAAACCCCCUUCUUCAAUAGCCUGCCUGAAAGGUGAAGACUUUUCUCAACUGAUUGAACAAGAGGGAAUUGGAUGAAGAAAGGAUUUGUUGUUGUUAAUCGACAAGCCCUUUGUUAAUCCAAAUCCCUUUUUUUGGUUCAAUUGGUUCGUUAGCUGCCUGAAAGGUGAAGACUUUUCUCAUCUGAUUGAACAAGAGGGAAUUGGAUGAAGAAAGGAUUUGUUGUUGUUAAUCAACAAGCCCUUUGUUAAUCCAAAACCCUGUUUUUGGUUCAAUUUGUUCAAAGCCCCCUUUUUUGGUUCAAUUUGUUCGAUAGCUGCCUGAAAGGUGAAGACUUUUCUCAUCUGAUUGAACCAGAGGGAAUUGGAUGAAGAAAGGAUUUGUUAUUGUUAAUCAACAAGCCCUCUGUUAAUCCAAAUCCUUUUUUAUUUUUUGGUUCGAUUUGUUCAAAGCCCCCUUUUUUGGUUCAAUUGGUUCAAUAGCUGCCUGAAAGGUGAAGACUUUUCUCAUCUGAUUGAACCACAGGGAAUUGGAUGAAGGAAGGAUUUGUUAUUGUUAAUCAACAAGCCCUUUGUUAAUCCAAAUCCUUUUUUUUUUGGUUUAAUUUGUUCAAAGCCUCCUUUUUCAAUUGAUGUAUAGGGGGUGAAGGCUUUGCUCAUCUGGUACCAAUUCAAUUAGCGAUUUCUAAGAUCUACACACACAUGGUAAACCGUACAGUUCAGAUCUAGAUUCAAUUAGUGAUUUCUAAGAUCUACACACACGGUGAACCGUACACUUCAGAUCUAGAAACGUAACUUGCUGUAUAAAAUUGUAUUUGUUGUGUUCUCAAUUUUUUCUUUGGGCUUUGGGCUUUUUAUGGUCUAAGCCCAAAAGCCUAAGUAUAUAUAUUGCCUUCCUUCUACAUUUAUACCCUAACCCUAACCACCAGAACUUUGAAAGAACUUUGAAUCGUCCAAAAUCGUCCAAAAUGUGUGAAAACACUUCGUCCUUACGAGCUGUCAUGCAGCGGCAACUCAAGACUUCAGAAUCUGACGACGAUGAGGCGCCGGCUAACGUUUCAAAGACUCAGAUCGGUGCUCAUGCUAUGACCGUCGGUUCCUCCUCACGCGCUCUGACCGUCACAGAAUCUGACGGCGAUGAGUUGCCGGUUAACGUCAUCGGGACUCAGAUCGGGACUCAGAUCGGGACUCAGACCGGGGCUCAUGCUCCGACCGUCGGUUCGCCAUCACGCGCUCAGACCGUCGGUUCGCCAUCACGCGCUCUGACCGUCACAGAAUCUGACGGCAAUGAGUUGCCGGUUAACGUGAUCGGGACUCAGAUCGGGGCUCAUGCUCCGACCGUCGGUUCGCCAUCACGCGCUCCGACCGUCGGUUCGCCAUCACGCGCUCCGACCGUCGGUUCGCCAUCACGCGCUCCGACCGUCGGUUCGCCAUCACGCGCUCCGACCGUCGGUUCCCCCUCACGCGCUCCGACCGUCGGUUCGCCAUCACGCGCUCCGACCGUCGGUUCCCCCUCACGCGCUCCGACCGUCGGUUCCUCCUCUGGCGCCCAGUACGGCUGUCUUAGGUCUUGGACUCGCACUGGUGGCCGGCUGGCUAGGAUUCCUGCCUGCGAGCAUCCGAAUCCUUCCGGAGUGGGCCCUAAAAUUUUUUUCUUCUGAUUCACGGUUGUCGUAAGUUGCAGAUUUUGCUGCAGCACUGGGAUAUUCUGAUGUCCGGGUUGCACGUAGCUUGGAUUUGCAUAACAGGGUGCCACAUCCAGGACAGGGCAGAGGUCGUGGAAGAGGCCCAGUAGAGGCCGGGGCCGUGGCAGAGGUUGAGCCAGAGGUUGCAGGGGCAAGUGGGGUAAGAGGCCGGGGCCGGGGCCGUGGCCGUGGCAGGGGAAGGGGUCGGGCAGCGAAGGCUGAGCCAGAGGUUGCAGGUGAAGCAGGGGAAAAUGGGGUACCAGGCCGGGGACGUGGCCGGGGAAGGGGAUGGGCUGCAAGGGCUGAACUUUUGACCGGCGGUUCUUCCUCUGGCGUACUGACCGGUGUGCCACCGUCUGGCCCCUGACCGGCGGUUCCUCUGGCUCCCUGACCGGCGGUUCCUCCUCUGGCUCCCUGACCGGCGUGCCACCGUCUGGCUCCCUGAGCGGCGGUUCCUCCUCUGGCCCCCUGACCGGCGGUUCCUCCUCUGGCUCCCUGAGCAGCAGUUCCUCCUCUGGCUCCCUGACCGUUGGAGAGUCUGCUGAAAGGGGCAGAGGCCGGCGAGGUGUUCCUGGCCGGCAAGGUGUUCCUGUUUCAACAGAGCCAGAGCUGCCAGCUGAAGCAGGGGGCAGGGGCCGUGGACGUGGGAGGGGCAGGGGACGUGGCAGGGGCCGGGGACGAGGUUCGGGCGUAAGUGCGGAAAUUUUUCGUCUGUAUUCUUUAGGUUUUUAUGCGUAGAAGCAUAUCUGAAGCUUUCAUUUGGUUUUUAUGCGUAGAAGCAUAUCUGAAGCUUUCAUUUGACUUGCGUAGAAGCAGAAUUUCUGAUGUUUCCAGUUUUUGGUGCUGCUCCAGAGAAUCCUAUCAGUGCCCUCCUUUUCUGACAAGCAAUGGAUAUACUUGCCACAGCCUACAUUUUUCUGCAGUCUUUUUACUUUUCUAAGUGGCUUGAGACAUUGUUACACUUUUCCAUGUCUCUGUACUUUGCUAAGUGGCUUGAGACAUUGUUACACUUUUCCAUGUCUCUGUACUUUGCUAAGUGGCUUGAGACAUUGUUACACUUUUCCGAGACGACGUUAUUACACUUCCAAUUCUCUUUUUUGUCUUUUAUAAGAAGAGAAUUAGAUACAAUCACCUCUCCUUCCCCCAUGCCCAAGGCCAUCUCUAAUCAAACAGCUCUGCAAAUGUUCGAUGGGAGCCUAGGUUCCCACAAUUUCUCCCUAUUACGUUUUGAGAAGAAGGUGCUUAUUUCA